GACGAACGCUGGCGGCAUGCUUUACACAUGCAAGUCGAACGGUAACAGGCCGCAAGGUGCUGACGAGUGGCGAACGGGUGAGUAAUGCAUCGGAACGUGCCCAGUCGUGGGGGAUAACGCAGCGAAAGCUGUGCUAAUACCGCAUACGAUCUACGGAUGAAAGCGGGGGACUCAGCAAUGAGCCUCGCGCGAUUGGAGCGGCCGAUGUCAGAUUAGGUAGUUGGUGGGAUAAAAGCUCACCAAGCCAACGAUCUGUAGCUGGUCUGAGAGGACGACCAGCCACACUGGGACUGAGACACGGCCCAGACUCCUACGGGAGGCAGCAGUGGGGAAUUUUGGACAAUGGGCGCAAGCCUGAUCCAGCAAUGCCGCGUGCAGGAAGAAGGCCUUCGGGUUGUAAACUGCUUUGUACGGUAACGAACGGUACUGGGUUAAUACCCUGGGCUAAUGACGGUACCGUAAGAAUAAGCACCGGCUAACUAACGUGCC
rnacentral:rRNA from 1 species